UGUCUCGACGCUCCGUGGGUGUUGGCUGGGAAGCGGGGUCUCUGGAUCCCGCAGGGUCACCCGAGUGGAUGCCCGGCCCCGUGCUGGCGCGGCCUCACCUGAACUGUGGGGUCGUGCAGGAAGGGAAAACUCGUAAUGCCUUAGGACAGGCGUAGACGGACCAGCGCCGAGAGCGGCAGAUAACAUGCCUUGUGAUUUCCUUGUGGCUGCAGUAGCUUUAUUUCAGGCUUAGAGAGAGGCGGCAACUUUCCCUUGACACAGGGUUGUUGAAGAUGCUAACAGAAAGUAAUCCUUAAUGCAAAAUCAAUUGAGGAGAAUGAAGGCUUUCAUAUUUGACUCACUUCUUGAUAGAGAGAGAGAGAGAGAGAGAGAGCACAAGCAUGUGCCUGCAAUCGGGAGAAACAGAGG